rnacentral:rRNA from 1 species
UACGUAGGGUGCGAGCGUUGUCCGGAAUUAUUGGGCGUAAAGGGCUCGUAGGCGGUUUGUCGCGUCGGGAGUGAAAACACCGGGCUUAACUCGGUGUUUGCUUUCGAUACGGGCAGACUAGAGGUAUGCAGGGGAGAACGGAAUUCCUGGUGUAGCGGUGAAAUGCGCAGAUAUCAGGAGGAACACCGGUGGCGAAGGCGGUUCUCUGGGCAUUACCUGACGCUGAGGAGCGAAAGUGUGGGGAGCGAACAGG